AUUCUCUUUUGUUCAUAUGAUUUGAUAAACAGCGAAGACUGCCGAUAUUCAUGCCAAAUGAACGUAACCAACAUGUGGAGCCGAACGAAAUAGCAGUGCAUUCGAUGAAGUACUAUGUAGAAGUUGGUGAUGAGUGAAAAAUAAGUGAAGAGUUUUUGUGUUUAAAAUAAAUUAGUUUUCAAUAAAUAAAAGUAAAAAUAUAGACAAAAGUGAUUGAUAAAAAGUAAGAGAGUAAAAAUAAAAAUAUUGCAGAAGGUGAGGAAAGAUCACUUAUAAUUCCUAUGCAUAUUUGUAAUCAAAUUAAAUCCUUCCUGGAAGAACACAAAAAUUUCGCAUAAGUUUUCAACUGGCAAAUUAAGUUAAACAAGAAAAAACGGUUAUUUUCAGCUUAAUGGAAGUUUACAUAUUCACAGGUUCAAAUUUUCCUUACCAGAAUUAAAUUUUUAUCGGUUGCUAGUACAAUUAACUAGUUGGUGUUCACGUCAAUUAUCCUCACCAGUUUUGAUUUCCAAGUACAUAUGUAAAACAUAAAUAAAGUCAAUCGAAGAUAUGUGUUGCUUGUGAUAAAUUAUCAUUAAUUCAUGUUUGUGCAUAAUUAAAGCAUACAACUCAAUUACUCUGCUGUGCUGCUUAUCUUGAUUCGGCUGAUGCACUUUUCCACUGGUAGCCACACGCACCUAUUAAAAAAUGAAUCGGGCGCUGGAUAUAGCAGCUUGUGAGACACGCAAAAGUAACAACACUCCUGAAACUUUUGUAACAUUUACCCUGGGAAUCUAACUAAAUAAAAAUAAUUAAGCUAUAUCCAGGCCAACCGGCGGAGAAACGGAACAGAAGUUUAAUAGUCAGAACUUUAUUGUUGACGUAUGACAAGAACCAACGAUCAUGUGGGAUAAGGAACUAAUUCAAAAACCAUUCAUAUUCUAAUUUC